AUGUUUGAAACAAAUUAUUGUGAUCAGUUUCGGCCUGAUAUUAAGGUUAAUAUUUUAACUCAAACUUA
rnacentral:tRNA from 3 species